UACGAGGGGGCGAGCGUUGUUCGGAAUUAUUGGGCGUAAAGGGUGCGUAGGCGGUUUGGUAAGUCUGAUGUGAAAUCUAAUGGGCUCAACUCAUAGGUCUGCAUCGGAAACUGCCGGGCUUGAGUGUGGGAGAGGUGAGUGGAAUUCCUGGUGUAGCGGUGAAAUGCGUAGAUAUCAGGAGGAACACCUGUGGCGAAAGCGGCUCACUGGACCGAUAACUG
rnacentral:rRNA from 1 species